AUUGAACGCUGGCGGCAGGCUUAACACAUGCAAGUCGAGCGGGGAAGUUGCUUCGGUAAUUGACCUAGCGGCGGACGGGUGAGUAAUACUUAGGAAUCUGCCUAUUAAUGGGGGACAACAUCUCGAAAGGGAUGCUAAUACCGCAUACGCCCUACGGGGGAAAGCAGGGGGUCACUUGUGACCUUGCGCUAAUAGAUGAGCCUAAGUCGGAUUAGCUAGUUGGUGGGUAAAGGCCUACCAAGGCGACGAUCUGUAGCGGGUCUGAGAGGAUGAUCCGCCACACUGGGACUGAGACACGGCCCAGACUCCUACGGGAGGCAGCAGUGGGGAAUAUUGGACAAUGGGGGGAACCCUGAUCCAGCCAUGCCGCGUGUGUGAAGAAGGCCUUAUGGUUGUAAAGCACUUUAAGCGAGGAGGAGGCUCUUUUGGUUAAUACCCAAGAUGAGUGGACGUUACUCGCAGAAUAAGCACCGGCUAACUCUGUGCCAGCCGCCGCCGUAAAAC
rnacentral:rRNA from 1 species